rnacentral:rRNA from 1 species
UUGGCUCAGAACGAACGCUGGCGGCGUGCUUAACACAUGCAAGUCGAACGGUGAAGCCAAGCUUGCUUGGUGGAUCAGUGGCGAACGGGUGAGUAACACGUGAGCAACCUGCCCUGGACUCUGGGAUAAGCGCUGGAAACGGCGUCUAAUACUGGAUAUGAGCUCCUUCCGCAUGGUGGGGGUUGGAAAGAUUUUUCGGUCUGGGAUGGGCUCGCGGCCUAUCAGCUUGUUGGUGAGGUAAUGGCUCACCAAGGCGUCGACGGGUAGCCGGCCUGAGAGGGUGACCG